rnacentral:rRNA from 1 species
UGAGGAAUCUUGCGCAAUGGGGGAAACCCUGACGCAGCAACGCCGCGUGAGUGAGGAAGGCCUUCGGGUCGUAAAGCUCUGUCAGAUGGGAAGAAAUGGGUGGGGUCUAAUAUCGUCCAUCCUUGACGGUACCAUCAGAGGAAGCACCGGCUAACUCCGUGCCAGCAGCCGCGGUAAUACGGGGGGUGCAAGCGUUGUUCGGUAUCAUUGGGCGUAAAGCGCGCGCAGGCGGCUUGGUCAGUCAGAUGUGAAAGCCCUGGGCUUAACCCAGGAAGUGCAUUUGAUAAUGCCGCGCUAGAGUACGGGAGAGGGGAGUGGAAUUCCUGGUGUAGAGGUGAAAUACGUAGAUAUCAGGGGGAACACCGGUGGCGAAGGCGACUUUAUGGACCGAUACUGACGCUCAGGCGCGAAAGCGUGGGGAGCAAACAG